CAUGCGUUUGAAGAAAGUGUGAUCUGCAAAAAAUGGCGAACAAAAUGCAUUUUACAUCAGCGUUGCUUGUGCUGGCUCUUGUCAGAUAUGCCGACGGGGCCAACUGUGUGAAAAACAAUGCAUGUUCGUGUACCUACGACGACGGGUCAGGGACAGUAGAUUUUCAAAACUUGGCCGGGACCAGUGGACCAAGAUUGCUCGACCAAUAUGAUAAGAAUAGGCAGUAUAAGUACUCGUACAACCCUUGCAACCCAUUUACCGAACAGACUUGCAAUAAUGUUGCGGUCUGCGAGGUCACGGUGGACGCCUCGGGCAGUACCUCCUUCACCACUCCUGCAGGCACGCAGGAUAGCGCAACUUUCACCACCACAGGGGGACAACUUAAGAUUGUUUAUAAGACCAGACCAACAGAGUUUAAUUAUCAAACAACUGUCACAUUGAAAUGUGAUGCAUCACUUACAGGAAGUCCCAAGUUUGACAUAGCGGGCGCGGUGACAUUUAACACUGCUGAAACGACUAUGACGCGCCGCAUGCAUCUUUGUAUUGCAGGAAAUGACUAUGACGCAUGCAUCUUUAUGCGCAAUCGUUGAAGGCAGCCUGAGUUCAGGCUCGAUACUCGUCAUAAUAUUUUCCGUCGGAAUUAUAGUCUAUUUCGUCACAGGGAUUGUUUUCAUUGUAUAUGUCAAGAGAGAAUCGGUUGCGAAAUUGUUCCGAAUGUUAAUUUCUGGACGGCGUUGCCUGGUUACGUAAAGGACGGAGGGUUGUUUGUGUACAAUUCAGUAAGAGGAAAUCGUGGCGAGUAUACGCAGUUCGGAGAAAAAUAAUAUUGAGCCCGGAGAGAGGCUCCUCAAAGCAGUGGAACAUCGUGUAAAGUUGGCCGUACAUGUCAAUAGUUAGCGGUCGGUGGGGCCAGCGAAGGAUAGUUCUGGCACAACCUGGUCCAUUGUACAUGUAUAUAUAAUAGCCGGGCUAAAAGUGGAUUCACAGUUAGCCGGCGCUGGCCCGCCCCUCCAAAUCUUUUGUAAUUUUUCGUUAACCAUCAGUACGUUGAUCUCACUAACCGCAUGUGUAAACUUUUUGGGACACCCUAUACAGACGGUAUAGUCAAGGAUAUCUAAAAAUAUUGAGUGAAAAAAGGAAUGGAAAUAAUUCCUUUUCACGAGCACUGAACACGGUUAUCGAUAUGGUAGAAACGAGUGCCAGAGUUCUCGUAACAUUACCAGCAAUGCUUUUAAAUUUCAAAUGUUUCCAAGGCAGACGUGGUCACUACAAUUUGAUAACAGAAUAACAGACUGACGUAACGUCUCGUGGAUGCCAUCACAAAGAACAUUUGCACCAGUUUACGAAUACAUGCUCGCAUAUUUUAUCUGGAGCGCGCCAAUUACAGCAAGGAUUCAUCCACCCCUCGGUUUCAUCUUCAUACAGCUUUACAAUGUAGUUCUAUAAAUGUUCUUUGUCAUUCGGCACCAUUAAAAACAAACCGACGGUCGCACUGCACGUUUAGCGUUGAAUGUCACAUAUAUUUUAAGAAU